rnacentral:ncRNA from 1 species
AUCAGCCGGUAAGGCGCGGUUCCUUCCCUGUGGAAGGCCAGCGGCUUUACCGGAUUUCUCAAGCGCUCCCUAAGGGGUUAACCCCUUAGGAUACAUAGAGGAGG